AAGUCGUAACAAGGUUGCCGUAGGUGAACCUGCGGCAGGAUCAUUAUGGUCUAAACAAAAAAAGUCGCGCGCCUUUUUUCUUCGGGAAAGGGGUUCGCGCAACCGCUUGGUGAGAGCCUCGUCUCUUUUCUUACGUACGCGGGCUUUUUUUCUCUGGAUGAUUUCGUCUCCUUUACGUACGAAAUCGCUGUUCCAACCAGGCACCCACAACAGAAAAAUACAAAAAUAUCGUACCUUCGGUGGAUCACUCGGCUGGUG
rnacentral:misc_RNA from 1 species